AAAACUUACCUGUGAACAACCAUCAAGUUGCAGAUUUAGAAGAGAUGAACAUUCAAGGACAACAUCUGGUUUCACCACUUGCAGCUAGUGAGCAUUUAGAUAAUAUUGACAGAUCUUCACCACCAAAUGUUAAUUCAGGAGAAAAUGAAAAGAUUUUGGAGAAUUCAUGGUUAAAGAUCAAGAGGGUUGAAG